UUCUUUAACUUUGAAUUUAAAGAAUUGUUUCUUCCUUGAUAAAAAGAAGACUAGAUUACAGGAAUAAAGGAAAUUUUAACAAGAAUGAUGUGCAUUAUUAUGCGAUGUGUCUCUUUGUUCACUUGCUUGUCUGUGUAUGCACCAUAUGUGUGUAGGGGACCACAGAGACCUGAGGAGAGCAGAGAAGGAAGGACACUGACACUCAGCUCACUGUCUCUUUUUCAUUCAGUCAGGACCCCAGCCCAUGGGAACCCUCAUUUGGGAUAAGUGUUUGCUUCUCAGUUAAAGCUCUUUGGACGCGCCCUCCCAGACACACCCCAGGAAUGGCAACUGGCUCGUUUCAAAGCCGCUUGACAGUGGAGAUCAACCAUGGGAUGUAUUUGUGUGUUUCUUUCCCACUGAAGAUCGUGCUUAUGACGGGCAUGUCACCUGCAGUUCUCCUCACUUCUGCUCUGUCUCCUCACGUGCUGCUGUCUGAACACCUCUCUCUUCUCUGCAGCAGCACUGGUGAAGGGCUCCUGGAUGCUCCCGGCUCAGAGUGCUGCAGAUAAUAGUACGCACACCCAGGUCUGAGCACCUUCUCCUUAAAUGUGAGCUGGAGCUAGUAAUUCACAUCCAGUGACGGAUAUGACAAGACGACAGGGUGCCACUUCUGAAGAGUCUGCUCCUGACUGCUGGGAUCAGAGACGAGUGCCACCACACCUCAGUGGGGUUUUCUUUGUCUUGACCCUAAUUGGGAUUUGUAAUGAUCCUCAACCUGUGGGUAAUUGUCUUCAGUCCGUUUGAGAAGAGGCUGUUUUCUCUCUUUAAAAUAAAGGAUUUAUUUUUUAA